rnacentral:misc_RNA from 1 species
GUUCACCUCUGUGCCUUGUAUUGCAUUAAAACAGGGUCAGAACAAUCAAACAUUUCUCACUCACUGAAUUCCAUUUACAUCCUUUCUCAUGUUUUAAAGAGCACAGGGAUAAAGCUACUAUGGUCAAAAGGAUAACAUUACGAAACGUUUUAAUACCUACAGCAGUUAGUACCGACACCUACACGUUACACUUCUUUUUGCUUGAUCAAAAGCCAAGAAAAAAGAUCGGGAAUCGGGAGGCUCAGCUAAUAAGCAAAACAACAGUAGUAAUUGAAAUCGUAGGAGAGAAAAAUCAGGGCCUGAUAGUAAGUUCAGCCCUGAGAU